GACAAACGCUGGCGGCGUGCCUAAAACAUGCAAGUCGAACGGUCCUUCGGGACAGUGGCGAACGGCUGAGUAACACGUGGGUGACCUACCCAUGAGUGGGGGAUAACCCGCCGAAAGGCGGGCUAAUACCGCGUACGCUCGCUGGUCUACGGACCGGUGAGGAAAGCAGUGAUGCGCUCAUGGCGGGGCCUGCGGCCGAUUAGCUAGUUGGUGAGGUAACGGCUCACCAAGGCGGCGAUCGGUAGCUGGUCUGAGAGGAUGAUCAGCCAGACUGGGACUGUGACACGGCCCAGACUCCUACGGGAGGCAGCAGUUAGGAAUUUUGGGCAAUGGGGGCAACCCUGACCCAGCAACGCCGCGUGGGUGACGAAGGCCUUCGGGUCGUAAAGCCCUUUUCUUCGGGAAGAUGAUGACGGUACCGGAGGAAUAAGCCCCGGCUAACUACGUGCCAGCCGCCGCAGUAAGAC
rnacentral:rRNA from 1 species